AUGAGAAACAUUGUGUUUUUCUUGGAAGGGUUUAGAAUUGUGAUGGUUCAGCUUCUUUGUGAACAAGAACUCUCUCCCUUUCUUCUCACAGCGCUGCAGCUCAACCUUUCUUCUUCGGUCAAACAUCAACAUCCGGCUACCACAGAAAAUUGUAUCAUCUCGUCUCUCUCUAAUUCAUCUCUAUCUCAAUCUGUGAACAAGCUUCCUCGAGUUCUCCGAUCUCUUUCAUCUACCUCCAUCAUGGAACCUCGGUCGGUGACCAUAUCGAAAAGUCUAACGAACUCAGAGAUUCGUUACGACGGACACUGA